GGGAUUUAUGCAGGAAGUCACAUACAUUUUCUUUUUCUAGUGGGUUGGCAAACCAAACCACUGAGCAGAAUAAUUGUGCCUGAAGCACAUUAUAAGCAAAAGAUUAGAGUCAAGUAUUCAGUUUAGAUUGUAAUUGAAGUUGUUCACCUGGUUCUUAGAAUAUCAGAAUUUCCUGCAGCUGCCUAUUCCUGAAGAUUCUCCAAUAAAAUAUGGAGUUGUUUCCCAGGACCCAGUGUGUAGCUGUUCCAAUCUAAUAAAAGUGCAAAUUAUUUCAGAGGCAUUGAAAUCAACCCAGAGCAGCUCCAUGCUUAAUGAGAUGGCAGCUGGUAUGGGCUUACUUUGUGCUUUCUUGAAUGUGGACUUCGAGUCAAAGGGAACAGUUUUUACUAUUAAAUGAGCUGCUAUCUGCUGCAGCUUUCAAGAUAUAACCUCUAUUUCAGUUUAUAGUGUAGUAGUUCAUGAUGGAAUUCAACGCGGCCCCCUAGUGCUGCAAUCAUAAAUAGUGUCUUAUCUUUAUAUAUGCUUUCUAAUAUUUUAACAUUCUAAUUGUAGCAUGCUCAUCCCAGUCCUGUGAGGCUGGCUUUUCUUACUACCAUCUAAUAAAAUGUGAAAAUUGACCAUUUAGCAAAAGACUGUACAGAGACUUUAAAUGUGAGUCUCAAGUUCUAAAUUCAUUUAUUUUAUUCACAAUUAGCAUGCAUGCAGGUAAUUGGUUUAACCCAACCCUCCAAGAUUUGUACUUGAUUGCAGUCUGCCAUUUAGGAGACCACUUGAUCAAGCUCACUUGAUACAGUGGUACCUCGGGUUAAGUACUUAAUUCGUUCUGGAGGUCUGUUCUUAACCUGAAACUGUUCUUAACCUGAAGCGCCACUUUAGCUAAUGGGGCCUCCCACUGCCACCGCGCUGCCAGAGCACGAUUUCUGUUCUCAUCCUGAAGUAUAGUUCUUAACCCAAGGUACUAUUUCUGGGUUAGCGGAGUCUGUAACCUGAAGCAUAUGUAACCUGAAGUGUAUGUAACCCGAGGUACCACUGUAUAUGGUUUUUGGGAGUUUGGCAUACAGAGUCCCCAGGUUCAAGCUCCAGGUUUUUUGUUUUAUUGCUGCUUAUGCAGUUACAAUUGUAUUGUCUCCUGGAUCACAUUGAAAGGGGCAUACUUAAAAUGGAACUACCAAGAGCUCCCCCCACACACUGAUAUUAACACCCAAGAGGGACUAUAGAGAAGGAGGCAGUAUUUCAGAUAUUUGGGGCCUAAGUAAUUUAUGGCUUUAAGAUUAGCAUGUUUUAACACUCACUUUAAACAAUGCAUACUUCAAAAAAAGGAUGUGUGGAACUGUUAUUUAAAUAUUAAAGGUAAUGAGCAAAAUAGGAUAAUGAAAUCAGAAUAACAUCUAUAAUAGUUAUUUCAUAAGUGAAUGGCUGAAUGACGUGUAGCUCAUUAAAAUAAAUACUGGCAUAUGUUGUGACAUUAAACCACACUGAGGUAAAACCUUCUUUCUUGAUCUCUUCAUUUGUCAGACAUCGUUUAUUUGUUAAUCUCUUGAGGAGGGCUGUUUGGUCCCAGUUGUCUUUUGUUGUUCCAGAAAGAUCUUUCCAGUGUCUGAUUCUGUUGUGCCUCGCUGCUUGUAAUAAAUAGCUUAUUAAUUCUUCAUUAUGUAAAUCCAGGUGGUUGUCUUGAAAUAUAUUUAAUAAAGCUAAUUCUGGUUUGACUUCCAAUUGUUUCAUUAUUUUAUUGAAUUCUUAGAGUAUCAAAUUCUAGAAAGUCUAGGUUUUGUACGUUCCCACCACUUGUAGAUAUGUACUGUGUAGGGCAGCCCCUCCAACAACAUGAUGGGUAACCAGGAUGGCUCAUGGCCAGUUUCCAAGGUUUAGGUACCACCUAUAUAUGAGUUUUAGGGUUAAUUCUCUAUUGCUUGCCUAAAUAGACUUUAAGGGGGGGGUGUUGGUCCAAAGUCUAUUAGUGUGGAUUUGGUUGGGGAGUACCCAAGGAGGUUGUAAGUUUCCUUACAAGGAAGUUUAUAUAGUGAUUUAUUUCUGUUAUAAAAGUCAUAUAACUUGUAUAGACUCUCCCCCCCCCUCCAUCCAGCCACAUCAAAUUGUUGUGAAGUGUUGUGAAAUAGUGGGUCUCAGUGGGGACAGUGGAUCUUGGAUGGUAUAUUAAAGCAUAAAGUCUCAGAAGUUAACCUGGAGGCCUGAGCAUGUUGAAAGUUGUUAAGCUCUCGAAGUAUUGCUGCUUCUGUGUUCAGUAGGUCAGAAUCAUUAAAUUAUCAGCACAUAGAUCAGUCAUAAAGUUUUGUUUUCCAGUUUGGGCUCCAUUAAUGUCUGGUGUUGUUCUGAUGCACAUAGCUCUUGGUUCUAAAGCUAGUAUGAACAAAAAGGGAGUUCCCUAUCCAAUUUGAAACCAUACUGGACUCUGCUUAGCCUUGCAAAUGUGCUAGCGCCAUAAAACUGCUAAGUUUUUUAUGCACUGUAGUAAAGAGAGAGAUCUUUUGUUUCAUCAAAAUUCUGCCAAAGACACAAAAAGAAAAUAAUUGUGCAUUUUAUGCAUCUCAUGGUUCUAUACUUUUUGAAACGAUUGUUUGUUGUCAGUGUACACUGUGAACCCCUAGAAACAUGAUUCAGGAGUGGUAUAGAAUUUUUUUUAAGAUAAAUAAAUAAUGUUCAGAACAUGUUGGGUAUUAUUUAGUACAGAUCACUGGGAGAAGCAUUCCCCCCCCCCCCCCAGAUGCUCCUCUGAUUUCUGCUAUACAUAAGCAAAUCAAUAAACAUCAUAAAUGUUUAUUCACUUAUUUGUUCAGUGUUGUCUGUAUUACCUAUGAGCCUUUGUGUUUUCAGUUAUAAUAGCUGUUCCAGUAAAAGGCAAUGAAACAGUAGGAAGAAUCAGGAGAUUUCAUUGUUUUCAACAGAAGCAGGAGGGAAGCAGCUCUUCCCUCAUCCCCACUAAAAUAUUCUCUCCAGCAGUUUUGCAGUUCAGCCCUUCUGGCUGCUUGCUGUAAGAGAAAAUCAGAACUAAUUGGAAGCAGUGGGAUGUGAGUGGAACUAAUAGAGGUAGCUGCUCUCCAAAUUAUCCAGUAGGACUUUGCAAGGCAUUGAAAAUAGGCAUCAAGACCUUACCUGAGCAGCCAAGAAGAAGGAAAUGUUCCUACUGUGAAUUAUGCUGCUUCUGUGUUGCUACUGUUUCAUCUUUGGCAAAUGUUAAAAUAAGGAAUUAGAAAAUUGAGAGUACAUGUGAAUUUAUUACCUUGCUCCUUCCAGUAAUAAAAUGAGUGACUUGAUCACUAUAACUUAGUCAUAACUCUUUUAUUAAGGAUUAUCUGCUUAGUAUGUAUUUAAAAUGAACCCAACAUAGUUUAUUUCCCCAACCAUUCAGACUGCUAAGCCCUUAGAGAGAAACAAAGGUGUUUGUGUUUUGGUGACCCCAGCAAAGUCUAGGUCACUUGUCCUACUUCAGGGGACAAGGAUGCCUGGAGUCCCAGUCCACUUGCAAGAUGAUCCAGAGAGUGAGGUCAGGUCAUGCUCCAAAGUCAGGGGCUUUUUGUGGGGGAGGGGUUUCAAUUAAAUAGGCAAACUCCAGUUAAAGUACAAGGUCACACACAGGGAAGUCAGGUUCACAGCAAAGGAGCACAGUAAGUCAAGGAGCUGGAGUAAGGAAAUGGUUCCAACCUCUUUCCCCAGUGACUGAAGGCUUUUAUCCAGGAACCUUCCAAGCUCCAUACAAUCACACUAGACUUAUUAAAAAGAUGUUGCUUAUUACAAGAAAGUAUACAUAGAGUAAUUUCACAGUGAUAGAUGUGGGAAGCAUAUGAUCAUAUAUAAAAUCACAGCUGUACGUGACUCAGAUAUUCACACUCCUGAUCUAAGAAACUAAGACCCUAGCAGUAGCAAAAGUGGGUGAGGUUCACAUUAGUUAUUGCCUUGGAAGGUGGAGAUAGAAACAAAAUAAUAACUUUUCCCUGUUCUCCUGAGCAGUCCCACAAUGGAGUGAAUAGAAAGGUGAUCAGAACCCAAGGCCUGUGAAAGCUAGGUUCUCCCCAUUGAACGAUUAGGCAGUAGAAAUCUCAGUCCUCCUUACUCCAAUGUCCAAUGGAGCAUUACAGUUGUUCCUUGAGAGUGCCGUUGAUUAUGUCGAAGAUUGUUGGAGCCACUAUGUGCUAGUUAAACUACUCAAAACAUCAAUUGUGAAUUAAAUUUUGCAUCUCGGGUGUGCAUGUAAAAUAGGAGCAGCAGUAAUGGUGUGAAAUGGGAAAAUAAAUUAUUCUUUUUGAACUAAAAGUUGGUAACUUUGCUGCCGGAUGUGCCUAAUGAUUGCCAUCUUGUGUCCAUGAGCUAUCUAGUGUUAAGUUUCUGCAUUUGGAGUAAAUAACCUUUGCCUUGCUAAUUCUAAAAUGGCAUAAAUUUUGUCUGGGCUAGCAUCAGUGUCCGUUUAGAGAAAAUAUGUUCUCUGUGGGAACUGACAGUUAUUAGUUUGGGAGUUUUUCCGAGUAUCACAUGGAUGACUUAUCAAUACUUUCAAUUUAUAGAGUCAGGAAGAGUCGCAAGCAAGAGUAAGGGUCACAGAGGGGCUGAUAUCACAAUGCAACACAAGUAAGACUGAUUCCUUGUUCCAUCAGAAUGAACCAAAGAAAAGUCAAGUCAUACACUCUCCCAUUACAGCAGACAGCAGUGAGACCUGAUCUCUGAAGUUAUGGGAUUAAAAAUUAGUUGGGUUAGAUUAAAAAAGAAAUCAAUGCAAUGUCUCCCAAAGGCGAUGAAAGGUUGUAUCACAAUGUGAUUCUAAGGACACAGAUGGCAGGGAAAGUAGAAAUGGAAGGGUUGGAGCAAUGUACAGACGCAUAUGACUUUUUCAUUUCCUUUAUUUAAAUCUCUUUACCCACCAUGUUUGAGCUGCCCUUUCCUUGUCUUUAGAGUCUAAUCCAUACAUCAUUUAGUUCUUCAACAAUUUUAUUUGAAAUCACAAUAGCUUCUAAGAUUUCAGGGAUCAUCUUUGAAAGGCUCUUCUUUUAGCUUUCACCUGUCAGCAUUUGCUUCUUUUUCUGGAGAUGUGUUUCAUCUUCUGUUAUCUUUUUAAAAUGGUGUUCGAUCCUGGAAAUGUUUUAGCAAUAUUCAUAGGCUUAUCACUGCAGGAGAGAGAUACAAUUUUAUCUAUCUUUUCUCAUCAAGUCAUUAACAUGAAACUCUGCAAUGUAAUCAUACCAAACUGGAAUUGAGGUCAUGCCAUAGACUGGUUGGAAAAGAGGCUUGAUGACAUGAUGAUGUAUAGCCAUUUCACAACAAAGCUUUUAACACAUAAUAUCUGCCCCUUAAUUGCAUUUAACAUUUCAUUGAAAAGAUGUUAUCAUUAUGGAAAUUGCUGUGUAAAUGUUGUUGAGAUAAACCCCCCAAAAUGUUAUACUGAUGGACUAGGAGAAGAAAAGAGCAUUUUCACUGCAAUAGGAAAUACAUAAUGGUGACAUACUUUAUUUUGUUUUCCUGGGACUUCUUAUGAGGCAAUGUUGCAUUCUAUGGUAUUUUUUUUAGUCAUUGUUGGGGGGAAUCUUUAAUCUGCAGCUCUUGAUAUAUUUCUUAUGACUCUAGGCAAACAGUAAGUUAAAUUCACCCGUUUUUUGUUGCAUACAUUGUCCUAAAAUACACUUUCUCCUGGCAUGCAUUUUUUGAGAUUAUAUUAUGUUGGUUAAGAUUUAUGUUAUAUGUUAACAUUAUAUCAUACAAAUGUUGAUAUCUUUUACAGAGCAGAAGAAAAAAUGUUUUUAGUCAAGUGAUUUGAAAGGCCUACAAUAUAUCUUUCUUCUCAUAAAACAAAAGAUUCUCUUGCGCUAAACAUAGCUUGCUAAAAUGAAGAACAAUAAAGUAUCAGAUAAAGCAGCUCUAGAAUGAAUUUUUGUACAGCCUGCAUGUUGAUGUGGGCUACAGCUAUAUCUAGAUUAACUUUUUGUUUUGUUUUUUACUGAGUUUGCAUUGUGUUUGAGAGUAUAAUUUCAGAGAAGUGCUAGUAGGCAUUUUAUGCAUUUUCCUGAAAUCUGUUAUUUGAGCAUUGUGGCCACUGCUAUUCAACGAUGAGCUCAGUGUCUUCUGCUCCACUUACAAUUUAAUUCCAGGCAUAUCAGCAAAAUCCUGUGGCCCCUAGGGACACUCUCUCAAGGACCAUAAGAAUGCAUUCUUCAUAAAUUAAAAUCAAUUAAUAAAUUUAAGGAUCAUUCAUUUAUUUUGGAAUGACUCAACAGAUAAUUGCAGUGCAUAGAGAAGCUGGUGUAUAGAUAUACCGUAUAGACAAACAGCUUUGAGAAGAGACUUGCUAACAAAGCCAAAGAGGACCCAAUAGGAAAUAUACAUUUGCGAGAAACGCUCAGUGGGACAAACUGAAAAGUUAAGUCUCCUUAGAAACUUGAUGAGAAUCAGGCACACCCAACCUCUCUGGAUGGUACUUAGUCAGCAUGAAUAUUCCAGAGCAGAUGUAACUCACUCAUACAUUUUAAAUGAAAAAUAGCUGCAGAGCCCUUGAUAAUAAAUACUGGUGUCAUUGUUUCCUUUCAGUCUUAAUGCCUUUGUUUAUGUUUAUACAUAAGGCUAAUCAGUUAAAUAAUUUAGAUGAUUGAUUGAUCAAGCCAUCAUAUUUGAACCAAUUUAUCAAAUUUAGUAGCAAUGCCUAUUUAUUUAUUUACAGAAGUGCAAAAUAGCUUAUAAUUCAAUAAACAAAAGCUAUCACUUUGUUUAAUACCUUAUUUUACCUUCUCUGUUCCAACACAAUAGAACCACUAAUUAAUUGGAAAAGCUUUAGUUGAAUUAUUUUACCAGUUUAAACUGAGUUAAGCAUGCAUCUCUAAUUAUACUCUUAUCUCAUAUACGGCACACAGUUCUUCUAAAUGUAGUAUUAGAAGUGCCUUUCAUCCUCUUUAAUAUUAAAAAAAUGAAAUUGAUUGAUCAGCCUCAUGGGUAUUGUCAGAAAAUAAUUAAGGUGUGCUGCCAUAUGUCACUUUUCAUAUAGUCCUUAUAAUAUGUGAUUUGACAUCAAUUACUUUCUUAUUUCUGAUAAGCUAUCCUGCAAAUCAGUGACACUCUGGUGGGAAAAAUUCCAGAACUACAUGACUUAUGUGUUCCAGAAUAAAACACAGGUAACAGACACCUGGGGACUUUGUUUAGGAUGUCUAUUAGUGAAGCAAGCUAGUGUACCACCUUCAGUAUCACAGAUAAUAUGCCUUUGAAUGCAGGUUGCUAGGGAGCACAAGUUGAGAGGGUACUCUUGGAAUCAUGUCUCUUUGUGCAGACUUCCCAUAGGCAUCUGGUUAGCAUUGAGAAUGCUGUAUAGUUUUCUAGAGAAAAUGACAUAGCGUAUGUCUUGCCACAAAGCUCCACAAAGCUUAACUGUUCUUCCUUGUAAUAAAAAACAACAACAACCCUUUAAUUAAGAGGAAAAUAUGUGGAUUGUAUCAUUAUAAGAUGGAAUCACUAGGUGGCACUGGAGUUGGUUGGUUUUGGAUGGACUUAGAAGAUUCCUGUUCCUCUUCUUUUUAAGAAAGACAAUAAAGGUCUUGUUCAGCCACUGAUUGAUUAGCAGAGGAGGGCCAUAGCUAUCAGGUCAACUAUAAGUAGUACAUAAACAUUCUGAGAAUGAAUUUUGUAUGACGGUGAUUUUCCUUUUUCCUCAGUGUAGCUAGUGUUAAUGGAUUUUCAUGUGGUCAGAUUUAUGUGUGACCAUGUUCUGAAAAAGUUAUUUGUUAAUGCAUUUUUUAUGUUUGGGUUUCCCUGGAGAGUUUCACACUUGCCACAACAUCUAGCUAAAAAAGCUUUGCUGGGCCUCAUUAAUCUUGAUGUAGAAUCUUUUUCAAAGAAGUAACAGCAUUUUGUGUAAUUUUAUCUUGAGAUUAGUCUGAAGUGACUGAGGGUGUGAAUGUAUUUUGUCUCGCUGUCGUUGUUGCUGCUUUUAUAAAGCCUCAAAUAUUGCUCCAAUAGGUUGUACAGUUUAGACUUAGAGUGGUUGCUGACAAGCCAGUGAGGUGGCAUCCAAAGUGAUGCACUUACCACAAGGUGAUUUUUCAGGCCUGGUGACAUUUGAUUUGAAUGUCCUAUUGUAAAAGCCCCAGUUGAUAUAUUCCCAAAGUGGUGCUUUGCUUGCAUGUUUGAACAUAUAUCUGUGGAAGGCCACAGCACAGAUAGAAUCUUGUAUGAAGUGUAAUCUCUGUGCAAAGGCCUGGCUCCCAUGUUUCUUCCCCCUCAAAGAGGAGAGCGGAAAGGUGACAUGAACCAGGCCUCUGCACAGUCUUACCUCUGAGUGAGUCACCCGCUAUACAUGCUUACUCAAAAAUAAUCUCCACUCAUUUUGAUGGGACUUGUGCUCAGGUGAACAUGCAACUUAAAGAAGUGAAGAGUUACCACAUGAAAAAAUGUUCAUUAUUUCAUUGACAUUUAUAAAGCCUGCAGCAUUGUACUGACUGAGAGAUGAAAAGAAAUACUGUGAUGCUCUUUGUUCUAUACUUUGAGGUCACACCUGAGAGGGGGUUUUUAAAUAUCCAGUUGGUCUUUCAGCUGAGGGAGGAGUUAUUAAAUAAUCUCAGCUAAAUUUCCCCUCAGAUUUUGGGAUUCCAGAUUACCUCAACUAGUUUCUGAAGUGCAUUAAUGAUCCAGCACUCUUCCAUUAUUAUUAUUUUAUUUUUGGACUGAGUUCAGGAUGCUAUGCAUGUACAGCUUGACACAGGUUCCCAUCCCCCUCAAUAAGAGCAAUUUACACGAACACAUAUUUGUUCUCUGCAAUUUAAUCAGUGUAUGCAUGAAGUUGCUUCAAGAGUCCUCAGUGUUGUAGUCAACACUGUGUUGUGUAAGCAGUAAGGGGUUGAGGCAGACAUGAAUGGAAAAUUGUAGCAAACUGGACAUAAGCCAAUUUGAAAGCAGGCGGAGCAAAAUGUGGAGAAGAGUCACCACAAAGAACAGUAUCAAAAUUAAAGGGAGGACAUCCGUUUAUGUUCUUUUGCUAGUGCAAAUGUUUAUAGAGUUGAACCAAAACUCUACCAUAUAGGCAUGCUUAGCUAUAUUUGCAUCAACCUUGAAGAUAUGUCGUUUAUAUGGUAGCAGUUCACUUCUACAGUGCACACAGAACCUUUGACUUUGGAGGUUGUCACAGUAGUCUGCAAAUCAAAUAUU